GGAGAUGGGAUAUAGCUCAGUGGUAGAGCAUCUUCUUGAGUCCCAGGUUCAAUCCCCAGCAUCUCCA